AGGUUCCAGAGGAGGAAGGAGGCUGGAAGAGAUGGGAUACUUCAUGGAGGUGGUAGAACAGGUCCUGGACAACAGGAGGGUGCCUUGGGACUGGACAUAAACUCUAUCAUUUGCCUGAAGCCUUUUAGGUCAUAACAUUGUUGACAUUGGAGCCAAGUUUUACUAAUUAAUAGCUCCAGGCAUGUGUGGUUUACUCCACCAUGGUCUUCUCAUCCUCUCUCCCCAUCCUAGGGAAAAGCUUUUCUUUCUUCCAGGUGUUACAACCUUUUCUCUGAAGCAGACCAAGAGAGACUCUUUUUUUUUUUAGACAGAGUUUCACUCUUGUCGCCCACGCUAGAGUGCAAUGGCACAAUCUCGGCUCGCUGCAACCUCCGCCUCCCAGGCUCGAGUGAUUCUCCUGCCUCAGCCUCCCGAGUAGCUGGGAUUACAGGCAUGCGCCACUGCACCUGGCUAUUCUUGAACUUUUAGUAGAGACACGGUUUCACCAUGUUGGCCAGGCUGGUCUCGAACUCCUGACCUCAUGUGAUCCACCUGCCUAGGCCACCCAAAGUGAUGGGAUUACAGGGGUGAGCCACCGCGCCCGGUCAGAGAAACUCUUAAGACUAUUAAUGGAAUUUAUCCUUCUGAUAAGAAAACUGAGACACAGAAAGGUCUCAGGAAGAAAAAAGACAAGGUGGAAUUCGGAUCCAGGCAGUAUGGAUUUAGGGUCUGUUCUCUCAAUUACCAUAUCAUAAUGUGUCUCUUAAAAAACUUUAAAAUGUGAAUGCUGUAUGCAAUGUUAACAAUGAUGUCGAUGAUAGCACAGAAGGCAGCUACUCUCACCUACUGCAGUAGGUCUGUGAAAUGUGCUUUGUUUCUGGUCAGCAUGGACACCCGCUUUAAUAGUGGCUUCAGAUGAGGCACCUUGUGACAGAGGAGCUCUUCCCCUGCAGCAACCUUGAAGAUGUUGUGGAAGACAAUAGCCAUUCUUACUUCACUCUGAGGAUCACGAUGGCGUGCAAGGGUGUGCCAAGCACAUUGCUAUCUUUGGCCAUUCUCUCUCACAUUAGUACACCUGGAUGUGAAUGGCACGUUAUCUAUGUAAGCAGUGAUGGUCUCUAUCUGGUGGUAGAAAUGACAGAAUUACACACAAUCAGGACAGCUGAGAUUCCAUUUACUAGCUCAGUAAUCAGAGAAUAUGUAUGACAUCCCAGCAAAAAAUGUUGAACAUGUUCAGAUUUCAUCAUAUCAGCACCACAGUAUCAGUCUUACUGGGAGGUGCUCGCAUUCAGUUCCUGGCUACUGAAGAAAUUUUGCAGGAGUUCCAGAUAACUUACUUGUCCCAUAAUAAUGAAAACUAUUACAAUUAUGCUAAAGAAGAAUACUUAAUAACACAGUAAAAAUGUUUAUGAUGUCUUUUAAUUUCUAAAGCAUGUUAUAAAAGUAUUACAGUAUGAUCUCAUAUUUGUAAGUAAAAUAUAUAUUAAUUCAUUUAGCAAAUAAAUAUUAAGCCCCUACUAUGCACAUACCAAUAUAGAUAUUGGUAUUUGUGUGGGUGUGUGUUACAGCAGAUUUUAAUUUUCUUAUUUUGUAUUUUCUGAUUUAUCUACAAUGAAUUUGUAUUAAUUUGCUAACAAAACAUCACUAUUAAAAUAAAUUUUUUUUGAAUUAUAAGAAAAGGCUAACAUCAUAACAAUAAGGUUGUAUAGAAUAAACUGACAACACAGAAGUUAUUUUGGCCCUGUGUUCCACAGUGACUCACCAAAUAUACCCUGCACUGUUUAUUUUAUUUUUUUCUAUUUCACUAUUGAAAUGAACAGAUGCAUUUCACGUCACAUGGAUCUCGUGGAAACAUGCCAAACAUUUUCUUAGCAACCAAACUCCUGUCUUCUGCACUGUGCAUGAUUAACUAAAACAGCCUGUUGACGGCUUAAAAUAAACCUGCCUUUUCCAUUUAGCAUUUUAUCAAAUGAAUAUAAUUUCAUUUGCUGAUGAAUUUAGUUCAGCUUCAAGAGAAUUUUUCUUUUCUUCAUGGGGAGGCUGAAGAAUCAGAACUGUCAUACCAAAGAAUGAAAAGCAAGCCUAGGGAGAACAAGACAGUCUGAUGUUUACAUGGGUAAAGUAAAAGUAUCUUUGUCAAUAUUACCAGCACUCUCCCUCACCCUCUGUUUUAUAGGGUGGAAUGUUGAUUUUAGUUCUGCUUUUGCAUUAUGGUGUUUACGUUGCUUGAUUACAAGCAUUAAUUUAAAUGACUGCUGUGGGGAUUACUAUUGUUAUUAUACGUGAGCUCUUGUCUUACUUUUGUUUAUUUCUAGCACUUGAGUAUGCCCUAAAAUUUAAUUAGAUUCAUCUCUUAGGAUAGUAGACCCUUUGCUGGGGUUCAAAAGUAAAGGGACAAAUGGUAUAAUCCGUCAAGGGAGGAGGGAGGUAUAUUAUCAGCAAUGAGGAGAGUCAAUGUUUUCUUAGAGGAUGUGACUCUGCAACUUGGAAUGAAUUGAUAUUCUGUUUGAUGAAUAUAAAAUAUAUCUCUGUGUCUAUAUGUACAUGUAGACACUUUGCAUCCAAAGACUAUAGGGAUAUUUGCUAAAUAAGGAAGAUUUAAAGUUUCUUUAAAGACAGCUUAAAAACAAAGUCAUCUAUGCAGUUAAACCAGCAUGUAUCUACAGAAUCAAUGAGAGGAAGAGGGUUGGACUGAAUAUUAUAUAGUCCAUGCGAUUUCCCCACUAUCUUUUACUUGUGUCCUCAUUUGGAAAUAGUGAAAAACAGCACUAAUGGCAAAUUGCAACACUAUUUAAAUUUCCACCUUAUUUCCCCCAGAGCAAAUUCUUAAAUGUUAAUCAUCAUCAGGCAGUCAAGUAGACACUUUAGCUGCACAUAGUUUUAUAUUUUUCCUGGGGAAUAAAGGCACAACAAAUAUAAAACAUAUUCCUGAUAAAUCCACUCUUUCUGAUUGCUGCUCUGUUUACAUUUUGAGAAAUAAUCUUGAUGUAUUGCCUUUAACAUUAGACAUAAUCAAUAUAAGAUUGAUAGACAUUUUACAUUAAACAUUGUAAAAAUAGCUGCUCCCACAUUUAAUAUUCUUCUGCUACAAGUCUGAAUUCUUCAUUACUUAAGCGAGGUUAUGAUGCUAUUCAGCUACUUUGGAAAAUGUCACUAUCUUCUUCAGGUUUGUUUUUGAAAGUGUAUUAACAUUUUCAAAACCUGAUUUCUAAGUUGAGAAAAAUCCAACUGAAAGAUGUCACAAUGACUAUUUGAGACUAAUCCUACUGACGGCAUUACUUCCUUUAUGGAGGUAAGACUUGAUAACUAGCAUUCUCUCCCACUAGCCUA
rnacentral:lncRNA from 1 species